CAGCAGCCGCGGGAAUACAGAGGGUGCGAGCGUUAAUCGGAUUUACUGGGCGUAAAGCGUGCGUAGGCGGCUUUUUAAGUCGGAUGUGAAAUCCCUGAGCUUAACUUAGGAAUUGCAUUCGAUACUGGGAAGCUAGAGUAUGGAAGAGGAUGGUAGAAUUCCAGGUGUAGCGGUGAAAUGCGUAGAGAUCUGGAGGAAUACCGAUGGCGAAGGCAGCCAUCUGGCCUAAUACUGACGCUGAGGUACGAAAGCAUGGGGAGCAAACAGGAUUAGAUACCCCCGUAGUCCCUGUCUCUUAUAC
rnacentral:rRNA from 1 species